rnacentral:rRNA from 1 species
AGCGGCGGACGGGUGAGUAAUGUAUGGGGAUCUGCCCGAUAGAGGGGGAUAACUACUGGAAACGGUGGCUAAUACCGCAUAAUGUCUACGGACCAAAGCAGGGGCUCUUCGGACCUUGCACUAUCGGAUGAACCCAUAUGGGAUUAGCUAGUAGGUGGGGUAAAGGCUCACCUAGGCGACGAUCUCUAGCUGGUCUGAGAGGAUGAUCAGCCACACUGGGACUGAGACACGGCCCAGACUCCUACGGGAGGCAGCAGUGGGGAAUAUUGCACAAUGGGCGCAAGCCUGAUGCAGCCAUGCCGCGUGUAUGAAGAAGGC